GCAGACACAUUCCAGCCAAUCAGCAGCAGACCCUCCCUCCCAGACCCUCCCACCUCCUGGACAGCAUCCAUUUUACAUUCAUUGUGAAGCUGCAUUCUUAGUGAGCUGUCCAGGAGGUGGGAGGGUCUGGGAGGGAGGGUCUGCUGCUGAUUGGCUGGAGUGUGUCUG